GUCAGACUGGUGGAUGAAACAAGCCACCACAUUGGAGAAGCCAUGUGGCAAAGAACUGAGGGUGGCCUCCAGUCAACAGCCAGCAAGGAACUGAGGCCCUCAGUCCAAAAGGCAUGAAGACUGGCAACAGCCACUGAGAUAGGAAGCCAGUUCUACUUCAAUUAAAUCUUGACUGCAGCCUUGUGAGAGAACCUCAAGUCAGCAGCCCAGCUAAGCCACAUCCAGAUUCCUGACCACCCAAAACUGAAGCCAAUAAAAUGUGAAAGAGAAGCAGUGAUAGCAGGAAUCCUAAAUUUGCUUCUAACUUGAAAGGUUUCUAAAAUUUCAUCACUAAGAAAGAAGGAUAAACAGAAAAUAGGGAACAGUGUAAAUAAGAUGCAAGAAAAAGAGAUGGAAAAAAAUGGCAAGGCAAGAUGGUAAACAGAGAUACAUACCUCAGGAGUCAAGGACCUGCCUUUUGGACAUUUUCAAAUAAUCUCAUCCUGUGCAAGUACAGCCCAAUGCUCAGUCACAAACCUUCAAGGAAUCUCCAGACAUAAGUAUUCCAGUUUUUCUAUAUCCUCUCCAACACCUGAUAUUAUCAUUUCUUUUAAUUUUAAUUGUUCUCAUAGGUAUAUAGUAGUGUCUCAUAAUAGUUUAUUUUGCAUCUCUCUGAUGACUGAUGAUAUCAAACACCUUUUUAUAUGCUCAUUGGUUCUAGCAAUUUACUUAUGUUAUAAAUAUAUAGCAACAAAUGCAGAUAUGCAAGCUGAUACUAACUUCUUCUGAAGAAAGUUCCUCUCCCCUCACAGCACAGGUAAAGUAGAAUUUAAAGUGAUCAUUUCUCUUGUGGGUCUUUUUUUGGCUCCUCUGACUAUAAUUCUCUGAUAUGAGAUGUGUACACCUUUGUCAGAGCCUUUCUCCAGCCUUAGUUUACUGGAGAAUCACUCCUCACAGACCUCUCUGUUAAAAUCCUAUUACCCCUCUAGGGGUGACUUAAAGGUAGAAUUUUUAUGUAGCCCCAGGCUGUUUUUCUCUUUUAUGCCUGCCUAUGUUCCAUAGGAAACACUCAGUGCUCUGUUUUGGUGGGUGCGCUGCAUUUUUUCAAAUGCAGACUUCCACUGCCCCUCAGGUCUGCUGCUUAGGCCAGCAGCUGAGGCCUGUGGCUCUGGGGUUCCUCCGACAUGAGUCCAAGAGUGGUCAAACCCCAGGGGACGUAUCCCAUGCCUGAGUGGUUUCCCAAAAAACAAAAGGUGAGGAUGUAGGUAUUUCCUCUCCUUUCCCUUGGGAAGGACUCAUAGUCCAGCUUCACUAAAGAAAUCCUCAUCUGAUAUUCUACUUUUGACAUUUUUUUGCUCUCAAAGUGGUUGAAGGGUUUCAGGAGUCAUGCUCUGAAAGUCUGCAUUUUGGUGUGUCAAUUUGCUCUGAAGUUUUAUUUCUGUCAUAUUGUGGUAGGCUGAAUAAUGGUCCUGGAAAUAUGUCCCUGUCCCUAGAAUUUUAAAAUCUUUUAUCUUAUGUAAUAAAGGAGACUUUACCAAUGUGGUUAAGGAUCAUGAGAUCAAGAGAUCACCCUGGAUUAUCCAGGUGGGCCCAAUAUAAGCACUGGAGCCCUUAUAACGGAAGGCAGGAGGGUCAGAAUCAAUAGUAGGAGAUAUGAUGACAGAAACAAAAGGUUGGAGUGGCAUGUAGACGGGGCCAUGAGCCAAGGAAUGCAGGUGAGCUCUAUAAACUGAGAAAGGCAAGGAAACAAUCUCCUCUGGGGCCUCUGAAAGGAAUCAGCCCUGCCCACACCUUGGCUUUUAACCCAGUGAAACUAAUUAUGGAUUUCUGAUCCCCAGAACUGUAAGGCAACAAAUUGUGUGGUAUUAAACCACAACGUUUAUGGCAAGUUAUUACUGUAGUAACAGGGGUCUAAUACAGGUAUCCUGCUGCAUCAGGCAAAAUGUCAAGCUUUAUAUCUUGUUACCCAGACCCAAAAUUCCCUUUGAAAACUGGGUUAUUUGAAUGGUUGGAUUAAUAGUACACAUGGCUUCUAAUUACAGGACAGACUUGAAGUACUUAGAAGGGCUCUCAAAUUUUAUUUCCCCAUGGGUGGCCAGUAACAAUGCAUGAAGACUGAGCAUCACUUUUCUGUUAUACCUGGUUACAAAUAACAGCCUCCCAUUUGUAUUAGCCAAAUGACUCUGGAGAAGAUACUUCAACUAUUUUUAUUUCUGUAUCUACAAAAGGAGAUAUCAUCAUCUACUUUUCCGGAUUGGUCUGAGGAUUAAGUGAACUUAUUUAAAGUUUGGAAACCUUUUAGUUUGUAGUAGCUGAUUUAAAAAGUAUAGCCACUAAACAAUAUUAAAUAGAUGAUGAAAUUGAGACAUGAAAUUCAUGCUGAAGUUAAUUUGGAAGUGUUUAUUGAGUACUUAAUGCUCAGGACAAUCUUAGGUGCUGUGGUGGGUUUAAAAAUAUUUACCCUUGAGGUGGUUACAAGGGAGGUACCUUAACGCUUCCUUGGAGAAGUAAUGGGACAAGCAGUUUUACCUCACUUAGGUGAGAGAUCUCCAUGAUUCCAGAAGACAGAGUGUCCUGGUGGAGAGUAGUUAGUUUUGAAAUGUCAGUUUCCUCUUGUAGAGAAAUAAAGGUUCCUAUGGCCAGGAUUCUCACAUGAUGCUCGUCAUCUUGCUCCCUACACACGUGUGGGCAAUACAUCAUUAUUGACUCUAUAUAAAGAGCUCUGCCCAGUGCUCUGGGCUGCAGAAGAGCAGAGGCUGGAGUGCUUGCAGUGCCCAGGACAGAGACUGAGAUGGCUGCGGGGGCAG